AUGUUGUGCACUGCCGGCGGUGAUGACGAUGGCGGCGGCGAUAGCCCGUUUAAGCUGGCCCUGGUACGCUACAGCCAUAACGGGAUCCUGGCUUGCCUCUACGAAUCGGAGUCCGGUGUGUGGGGAAAUGCAGUCAACACAAUGACUCCUCACGAGAUUGAUCCGUUAAGCCAUAGUGUUCUAAUUGGGAAUGCACUUUGCUGGAGGAUCGAUCAUGGUGCCAUCCUUGAGUUUGACACUGAAAGGAUGAGCCCACAGGAUGGCGGCCUCGGCCUUGCCAUGUCUUUAGGGUGCACCAUUCAACUAUGGGAGAGGAAGUCUAGCCCGGAUCAUUGGGUGCGUGGAAACACCAUUGAUCUAUCCCAUCUCGGUUUAUUGGGACCGGCGGAGCGAACAUUGGUAGUGCCCAUAGGGUUUGAUGAGGACAACAAUUCAAUCUUUCUCAGGAAGGCCCACCGUAUCAUCAUGAUCCAACUCGGUUCACUGCAGUCGAAGAUGCUUUUUCAUGACGAUUCCCGCAAUAUCAACAACAUUUAUCCAUAUACAAGUUCUUAUGCGGCAGGCAAUGUGGCUGAUGGGGAUGAUGAUGGGCCUGAAAUUUUCUGUUAUAAGGUGAUGGCUCCAACGACUCUCGUACGGAGAGGCGACCCGGGAGGCAAUUCCGAUGGCGUUGGUGUGGCUGCCCCCAGCGCGGCGGUGGCGGCGGAGCGCAGCUGGACGGCGGUGCGCCCAGGUGAGGGGUGCGCACAGCGGUGCCCUGCGCCGGGCGGGCGGUCUCCGGGCCCUAUCCCCUUAGGUAGCCGGUUCUGGGCGCUGUCAGGGGUCUACUCCGACGAAGACGAAGAUGAGCAAGACCAGGUAAGCAGUCAGGUGAGUGAUGGUGGUUCGCUGAGGCCUCGCGAGGCGUGCUCGGUGGGUGACUUUGUCGCCCGGGCGGAGGAGCUUGGGGGAUCCUUCAAGGCCUGCCGCCGGCAUGCUUUCACACCUAGUGGCCAUGGCGGGCGUCGCUAG
rnacentral:rRNA from 1 species